AGUGAACGCUGGCGGUAGGCCUAACACAUGCAAGUCGAACGGCAGCACAGUAAGAGCUUGCUCUUACGGGUGGCGAGUGGCGGACGGGUGAGGAAUACAUCGGAAUCUACUUUUUCGUGGGGGAUAACGUAGGGAAACUUACGCUAAUACCGCAUACGACCUACGGGUGAAAGCAGGGGAUCUUCGGACCUUGCGCGAUUGAAUGAGCCGAUGUCGGAUUAGCUAGUUGGCGGGGUAAAGGCCCACCAAGGCGACGAUCCGUAGCUGGUCUGAGAGGAUGAUCAGCCACACUGGAACUGAGACACGGUCCAGACUCCUACGGGAGGCAGCAGUGGGGAAUAUUGGACAAUGGGCGCAAGCCUGAUCCAGCCAUACCGCGUGGGUGAAGAAGGCCUUCGGGUUGUAAAGCCCUUUUGUUGGGAAAGAAAAGCAGCAGGUUAAUACCCCGCUGCUCGGACGGUACCCAAAGAAUAAACACCGGCUAACUUCGU
rnacentral:rRNA from 1 species